rnacentral:rRNA from 1 species
GAUGAACGCUGGCGGCGUGCCUAAUACAUGCAAGUCGAACGCAUAGCGAAAGGUGCUUGCACCUUUCAAGUGAGUGGCGAACGGGUGAGUAACACGUGGACAACCUGCCUCAAGGCUGGGGAUAACAUUUGGAAACAGAUGCUAAUACCGAAUAAAACUUAGUGUCGCAUGACACAAAGUUAAAAGGCGCUUCGGCGUCACCUAGAGAUGGAUCCGCGGUGCAUUAGUUAGUUGGUGGGGUAAAGGCCUACCAAGACAAUGAUGCAUAGCCGAGUUGAGAGACGGAGCGGCCACAGUGGGACUGAGACACGGCCCAAACUCCUACGGGAGGCUGCAGUAGGGAAUCUUCCACAAUGGGCGAAAGCCUGAUGGAGCAACGCCGCGUGUGUGAUGAAGGCUUUCGGGUCGUAAAGCACUGUUGUAUGGGAAGAACAGCUAGAAUAGGAAAUGAUUUUAGUUUGACGGUACCAUACCAGAAAGGGACGGCUAAAUACGUG